UACGGAGGGGGCUAGCGUUGUUCGGAAUUACUGGGCGUAAAGCGCACGUAGGCGGCUUUGUAAGUUAGAGGUGAAAGCCCAGGGCUUAACCCUGGAAUUGCCUUUAAGACUGCAUCGCUAGAAUUGUGGAGAGGUAAGUGGAAUUCCGAGUGUAGAGGUGAAAUUCGUAGAUAUUCGGAAGAACACCAGUGGCGAAGGCGGCUCACUGGUCCGGUACUGACGCUGAGACGCGAAAGCGUGGGGAGCGAACAGG
rnacentral:rRNA from 1 species